AUGGGAUAUUUUUUCCUUGUAAUUUUCGCUGUAGCAGCUUUGGAAGGUGUCCGGUCCCAGGUGCAGCUGGUGGAGUCUGGAGGGGAUGUGAAAAAGCCCGGAGACUCUCUCCGCCUCUCCUGCAAAGCCUCUGGGUUUGACUUCAGCAGCAGCAGCUACGGCAUGAACUGGGUUCGACAGGCUCCUGGGAAGGGACUGGAAUGGGUCGCUUAUAUAAGCAGCAGUGGGGGUACAAUAUACUACCUUGAUUCAGUGAAAGGCCGAUUCACCAUCUCCCGGGAUAAUUCCAAGAGUGAGCUGUAUCUGCAAAUGACCGGCCUGAAGCCCGAGGACACCGCCCGCUAUUACUGUGCGAGAGACACAGUGAAACCAAACUG